UUUAUCUUCAAAAGGGGGUAAGUUUCCGAAUUUCGAUCACAAACAAUUGUUCAUCAAUGGAUUCUUUCUCCCAAAAACCUAAACCCAGAAACUCUCACUACCCAGAAGUAAUCGAUUCCAACCUCGAAGCCAAUUCGUCCUUCCAAAAACCUAAUCAUCAACAGCAGAGUUCUCUCUACCCUUCCCUUGACGUUGAUGACCUCAGCGACCUUGUCCAAACCCUAUUUCCCCGAAAUGACACCAGAAGCAGCGAUGGUAGUGUUCAUUCGCCGUCUGCUCCACCGGCCGCUACCGAGGAGGUCCUCAUCAGGAUCCCCGGCGCCAUCCUCAACCUCGUCGACACCCACUACAGCGUCGAGCUCGCUUCCGGCGACUUCUCCAUCAUCCGCCUCCGGCAGGGUGACAGCGCCGUCGCCGUUUACGCCUGCGUUGCCGACAAGAUCCAAUGGCCCCUCGCCAAGGACGAAACUGCCGUCAAGGUCGACGACUCUCACUACUUUUUCUCCUUCCGACCUCCCAUGGGCUCCGAAUCCAAUUCCGAUUCCGACGAAGAAGAUCAGCGUAGCCGCGGGUAAGAUAAGAACGGUUCCGAUCUGCUAAGCUAUGGGUUGACGAUUGCGUCAAAGGGGCAAUAGGGUUCCACUUCCCCAUUCUUCUGCUACUCUCUCUUCAUCUUUCUCUCUUUCCACCUCUCACUCUUCACUCUUCAAACCCAGGGUGAGUUUACAGCUGGGAAAGUUGCCUAGUUUCCGUUUGGUGCAAAAUGGUGUCACACCAAGGGCGUAUUAUGUCUUCACUCUCAGCAGCUGAAACUUCUCAGAAGAGUGAAAGUUCAAAAGCUUAUGGUUCUGAUCAAAUUCAGGUACUUGAAGGCUUGGAUCCUGUUAAGAAAAGACCUGGAAUGUAUAUUGGAAGCAUUGGCCCGCGUGGGUUGCAUCAUAGUUUUGUGGUGUAUUUUAUCUGAUUGAACCAGAGUGCAUCUUAGGUUUAUGAAAUUUUGGAUAAUACUGAUUUUGCUGUACAUAGUAUACUGAUUUUGCUUUCUAUAUUAAUCAAGAACUAUGCUAUGAUAUUGUGCAUAUGGAAUUACUAAAAUUUGCA